UACAGAGGUCUCAAGCGUUGUUCGGAUUCAUUGGGCGUAAAGGGUGUGUAGGUGGCGCGCUAAGUCGGGUGUGAAAUUUCGGAGCUUAACUCCGAAACUGCAUUCGAUACUGGCGUGCUUGAGGACUGGAGAGGAGACUGGAAUUCAUGGUGUAGCAGUGAAAUGCGUAGAGAUCAUGAGGAAGACCAGUGGCGAAGGCGGCUCUCUGGGACGUGACUGACGCUGAGACGCGAAAGCGUGGGGAGCAAACAGG
rnacentral:rRNA from 1 species